AAGGGAACGACCGUGUUAAAUCAGGAGCUGCCACAAGUGCUGCAUGGCUGUCGUCAGCUCGUGCCGUGAGGUGUUGGGUUAAGUCCCGCAACGAGCGCAACCCUUAUUGCCAGUUAAUUUCUCUGGCGAGACUGCCCCGCAAAACGGGGAGGAAGGUGGGGAUGACGUCAAGUCAGCAUGGCCCUUAUGCCUAGGGCUACACACACGCCACAAUGGAUGGUACAGUUGGUUGCAAUAGCGCGAGCUGGAGCAAAUCCGUAAAACCAUUCUCAGUUCGGAUUGCAGGCUGAAACCCGCCUGCAUGAAGUUGGAGUUGCUAGUAAUCGCAGGUCAGCAUACUGCGGUGAAUACGUUCUCGGGCCUU
rnacentral:rRNA from 1 species